GCCGGGUGUGGUGGUGCGUGCCUGCAGUCCCAGGUACUCGGGAGGCUGAGGUGGGAGGAUCGCUUGAGCCCAGGAGUUCUGGGCUGCAGUGCGCUAUGCUGACCAGGUGUCUGCACGAAGUCUGGCAUCAAUAUGGUGACCUCCUGGGAGCGGGGGACUACCAGGUUGCCUAAGGAGGGGUGAACCGGCCCAGGUCGGAGACGGAGCAGGUCAAAACUCCCGUGCUGAUCGGUAGUGGGAUCGUGCCUGUGAAGAGCCACUGCACUCCAGCCUGGGCAACAUAUUGAGACCCUGUCUCU
rnacentral:SRP_RNA from 1 species